GAUGAACGCUAGCGAUAGGCUUAACACAUGCAAGUCGAGGGGCAGCAUAUUCGAAGCUUACUUUGAAUGAUGGCGACCGGCGCACGGGUGCGUAACGCGUAUGUAACCUGCCUCAAAGAGGGGGACAACAGUUGGAAACGACUGCUAAUACCGCAUAAGCCCACAGCUCGGCAUCGAGCAGAGGGAAAAGGAGUGAUCCGCUUUGAGAUGGCCUCGCGUCCGAUUAGCUAGUUGGUGAGGUAACGGCCCACCAAGGCAACGAUCGGUAGCCGGACUGAGAGGUUGAACGGCCACAUUGGGACUGAGACACGGCCCAG
rnacentral:rRNA from 1 species